AGAGUUUGAUCCUGGCUCAGAACGAACGCUGGCGGCGUGGAUAAGACAUGCAAGUCGAACGGGAUAUUUGGGGUAGCAAUACAUCAAAUGUUCAGUGGCGUAAGGGUGCGUAACACGUGGGCAAUCUGCCGAGAAGUGGGGGAUAGCUCGCCGAAAGGCGAAUUAAUACCGCAUAUGACUGGAAAGGACAUCCUUUCGACGUCAAAGCCGGGGCAACCUGGCGCUUCUUGAUGAGCCCGCGGCCUAUCAGCUAGUUGGUGAGGUAACGGCUCACCAAGGCUAUGACGGGUAGCUGGUCUGAGAGGACGACCAGCCACACUGGAACUGAGACACGGUCCAGACACCUACGGGUGGCAGCAGUCGAGAAUUUUUCUCAAUGGGGGAAACCCUGAAGGAGCGACGCCGCGUGGAGGAUGAAGGUCUUCGGAUUGUAAACUCCUGUCAUUUGGGAACAAGUUGCAGCGAUUAACUGUCGCGGCAUUGAUAGUACCAGAAGAGGAAGAGACGGCUAACUCUGUGCCAGCAGCCGCGGUAAUACAGAGGUCUCAAGCGUUGUCGGAUUCAUUGGGCGUAAAGGGUGCGUAGCGGCGGGUAAGCGGAUG
rnacentral:rRNA from 1 species